rnacentral:rRNA from 2 species
UGGGAGGCUUUGAAGUGUGGACGCCAGUCUGCAUGGAGCCGACCUUGAAAUACCACCCUUUAAUGUUUGAUGUUCUAACGUGGACCCGUAAUCCGGGUUGCGGACAGUGUCUGGUGGGUAGUUUGACUGGGGCGGUCUCCUCCUAAAGAGUAACGGAGGAGCACGAAGGUUGGCUAAUCCUGGUCGGACAUCAGGAGGUUAGUGCAAUGGCAUAAGCCAGCUUGACUGCGAGCGUGACGGCGCGAGCAGGUGCGAAAGCAGGUCAUAGUGAUCCGGUGGUUCUGAAUGGAAGGGCCAUCGCUCAACGGAUAAAAGGUACUCCGGGGAUAACAGGCUGAUACCGCCCAAGAGUUCAUAUCGACGGCGGUGUUUGGCACCUCGAUGUCGGCUCAUCACAUCCUGGGGCUGAAGUAGGUCCCAAGGGUAUGGCUGUUCGCCAUUUAAAGUGGUACGCGAGCUGGGUUUAGAACGUCGUGAGACAGUUCGGUCCCUAUCUGCCGUGGGCGCUGGAGAACUGAGGGGGGCUGCUCCUAGUACGAGAGGACCGGAGUGGACGCAUCACUGGUGUUCGGGUUGUCAUGCCAAUGGCACUGCCCGGUAGCUAAAUGCGGAAGAGAUAAGUGCUGAAAGCAUCUAAGCACGAAACUUGCCCCGA